rnacentral:rRNA from 1 species
GAUGAACGCUGGCGGCGUGCCUAAUACAUGCAAGUCGAGCGAAUUGACAGAGGUGCUUGCACCUCUCGAUUUUAGCGGCGGACGGGUGAGUAACACGUGGGUAACCUACCUAUAAGACUGGGAUAACUUCGGGAAACCGGAGCUAAUACCGGAUAAUAUUUAGCUUCGCAUGAAGCAAUAGUGAAAGACGGUUCUGCUGUCACUUAUAGAUGGACCUGCGGUGUAUUAGCUAGUUGGUGAGGUAACGGCUCACCAAGGCAACGAUACAUAGCCGACCUGAGAGGGUGAUCGGCCACACUGGGACUGAGACACGGCCCAG